GAUGAACGCUGGCGGCGUGCCUAAUACAUGCAAGUCGAGCGAACAGACGAGGAGCUUGCUCCUCUGACGUUAGCGGCGGACGGGUGAGUAACACGUGGAUAACCUACCUAUCAGACUGGGAUAACUUCGGGAAACCGGAGCUAAUACCGGAUAAUAUAUUGAACCGCAUGGUUCAAUAGUGAAAGACGGCUUUGCGGUCACGUAUAGAUGGAUCCGCGCCGCAUUAGCUAGUUGGUAAGGUAACGGCUUACCAAGGCAACGAUGCGUAGCCGACCUGUGAGGGUGAUCGGCCACACUGGAACUGAGACACGGUCCAGACUCCUACGGGAGGCAGCAGUAGGGAAUCUUCCGCAAUGGGCGAAAGCCUUACGGAGCAACGCCGCGUGAGUGAUGAAGGUCUUCGGAUCGUAAAACUCUGUUAUUAGGGAAGAACAAAUGUGUAAGUAACUAUGCACGUCUUGACGGUACCUAAUCAGAAAGCCACGGCUAACUACGUG
rnacentral:rRNA from 1 species